GGAACGCGCCAAUCUGCGCCAAUGCCUGUAUAGUUUCGGGAGGGGUGGCUCUUUAUUCCGUGGUUUAAUUGUUUGGCAUAUCGUUUCGACAGUGUUUCGUUGCUUGGGCUGUUUACGUAGCACACGGGGCAGUCAUGGAAUUUGAAUAUAGCGUAAUAAGCCAGCCACCUGUCGACGACAGCCCCACUUGCAUCCCAUUACCGUGUUACGGCCGUGGUCUUCCGCUAACUCCACUUGCAGAACUACCUAUAUACCAGUACCUGAAGAAACAGCACGAAGAAGAGCUGCUGCAGUCCGGGCGCGCUAAUGAAGUCCCCUCCGGCAUUGGACGAGGAAGGAUAUCGACGCUUUCCUCUGGCUUUUCAGUGGAGGAUUCAUCCGAUGCUGGGGAUAAUGACGUGGUUGGUUCAUAUUGGCGCAAUCAAGUGCCACUAAGGGUAUCCAGUUUGAAUGCUGGGUUGGAGCCUUUAAGCCCUGCUGCCCCAGGAUUAAAUGAAACAGUGUGUCGGCCACCUGGUUCAGCUCCGCCAAGUGCCCGAUGUCGUGGCCGAGGCACUCGUACUCCUGGAAAGCGGCCUACAUCAAAAGGUCCAGCUACUGCUAUUGGUGGCAGUGUCACUGCUUCCAGCACGUUGCCUCAGCUACCACCCAGCCUGCCCGUUGUGAGCGCCUCAUCACGAGUUUUGCAGUCUGCUCAGGACACAAAUAAUGCUACACGACAGCCAGGGCCAUCUCGUCCAUCAAGUGUCCCCUCCCGCAGUCGGGGAAUUGCAGAUCCUUGGAAGCUUCGAAUUCAACAAAUGGUUAAGCAACCAGGACGAUCGCAGCCUUCGAACUGUGGUACCAGGCCCCGCUGUCCUCGAGCCAUGUCUGGCCCACCACCAGCGUCUUCACAUCAGCUGGAAACUGCACUGUCUUCUCAGCAGCCACCACUGUCAAAGCCUCACCAAGAGCCUUCACUUCCGCCAAGGAAGUCCAUCCCAAGAGGUGCACCUGCUGCAGGUGCUGGCAGGCAAGAAAAAGGCCAGUCUCAGUGCAGUACACGCAGGCCCAUCAGGAAGGGCUCCUUCGAUCCAAACACUUUCAGCCAUGCAUUGGACCUCAGCUCAUGGGCAGAGUCUUUGUCAUCCAUGCAGCCUCGUAAACAGACCACUGAAUCGGGAACCGAGCUGACAGACAGUGAGGAUGAUAACUUCCACCGGCGGGUGCCACUUGAUCAGGAUUCUGUUUAUGAAUCCUGCUCCUCAUCAUCGGGAUCAAGUACAGAUCUGGUGUAUGAAAGUGCAGUGGAAGUAACGCCUUUGACUGCAACUCCGGUGUCUGGUGGGGCCACACCUGUCGCCGGUGCUGUGUCACCUGUCCUUGAUUCCUGCACUGUGCUUCCUGAUUCUGCCACUGUGGUCCCGGAUGCUGCUAUUGGAGUCCCUGAUGCUGUCAUUCCUGUCUCGAAAAUAGCCGCUACUGUCUCUGAAAAGCAAAAGCAAAAGCUGACUCCCUCAAAAGGAACCAAGGUCCUGAUUAGGGUUGUCCCUGAUGCUUCCAAUUCUGUACUGGAGAAGCCAAAGAAGAUUUCCUCAAGAGGAACUGAGGUCCUGAUCCAGGUUCUUCCUAAAGCUGUCCCUGACGCACUCACUGCUCCCUCUACAAUAGCUGCUGAAAAGGGUGCUUCCGCUUCUGCCCAUGAGGAGCAAGACAUGGCGUCCUUAAGAGGAACUCGGGUCCUGAUCAAGGGUCUGCCUAAAGCAACGACACGAGAGUUCGUGUACUACAACACGGCCUCCUUUGCUUCCAUUGAUGAUGUGAUCAUCGCUAGUGACGAAGAUGGAGCAUCGGCAGAAAUAAUUUUGACUAAGCCGUACAGUGCGACGAAGCUGUGCCAGUGUUUGCAGUCGGCAUUGACCCUUGAAGCUAUCCACAUUGUUUUGCUGUGGCAUAACUGAAGGAUUUCAAAGUGCAAAAAUAACCAAAGUAAUAUAUUUGCAGAAGUGCUGUCGCUCGAAUCGGCUCGAGUUUUCGUGCCUGAAACCAGCCUGAAACCAGCCUGAAAGCUGUCGGUCACAUUCAGAGACUCGCAGUGAACCACAGCGACACCAUCAUUGUGCAAUAUUCCAGGAAAAGUUUUUAUUAGAGCGCCAGAAAAUAU